rnacentral:rRNA from 1 species
AGCAGUCGCCGCGGGAAUACGAAGGGUGCAAGCGUUACUCGGAAUUACUGGGCGUAAAGCGUGCGUAGGUGGUGGUUUAAGUCCGUUGUGAAAGCCCUGGGCUCAACCUGGGAAUUGCAGUGGAUACUGGGUCACUAGAGUGUGGUAGAGGAUAGUGGAAUUUCCGGUGUAGCAGUGAAAUGCGUAGAGAUCGGAAGGAACAUCUGUGGCGAAGGCGACUAUCUGGGCCAACACUGACACUGAGGCACGAAAGCGUGGGGAGCAAACAGGAUUAGAUACCCCUGUAGUCCCUGUCUCUUAUAC